UGGCCCCGGUUAACGGGGAGGAAGGUGGGGAUGACGUCAAGUCCUCAUGGCCCUUAUGCCCAGGGCUACACACGUGCUACAAUGGGCGGUACAAAGGGUAGCGAUGCCGCGAGGUGAAGCCCAAUCCCAAAAAGCCGUCCACAGUUCGGAUUGGAGUCUGCAACUCGACUCCAUGAAGCCGGAAUCGCUAGUAAUCGUGGAUCAGCAUGCCACGGUGAAUACGUUCCCGAGCCUU
rnacentral:rRNA from 1 species